UACGGAGGGUGCAAGCGUUAUCCGGAUUUAUUGGGUUUAAAGGGUCCGCAGGCGGAUCGUUAAGUCAGUGGUGAAAGCCCACAGCUCAACUGUGGAAUUGCCAUUGAUACUGGCGGUCUUGAGUAUGUAUGAAGUUGGCGGAAUGUGUGGUGUAGCGGUGAAAUGCUUAGAUAUCACACAGAACACCGAUUGCGAAGGCAGCUGGCUAAUACAUAACUGACGCUGAGGGACGAAAGUGUGGGGAUCAAAC
rnacentral:rRNA from 1 species